CUUAGGCAAGUUCCCUCUCUUUGCUGCUUUUCUGUUUGAUAUUUCAAAAGACGUCUUGACUCUCAUUUUCAAGCACCAAAUCUCCACCACCCCCAUGUUUAUGACCAU